rnacentral:rRNA from 1 species
AGCGAACGCUGGCGGCAGGCUUAACACAUGCAAGUCGAGCGGGCGUAGCAAUACGUCAGCGGCAGACGGGUGAGUAACGCGUGGGAACGUACCUUUUGGUUCGGAACAACACAGGGAAACUUGUGCUAAUACCGGAUAAGCCCUUACGGGGAAAGAUUUAUCGCCGAAAGAUCGGCCCGCGUCUGAUUAGCUAGUUGGUGUGGUAACGGCGCACCAAGGCGACGAUCAGUAGCNGGUCUGAGAGGAUGAUCAGCCACAUUGGGACUGAGACACGGCCCAAACUCCUACGGGAGGCAGCAGUGGGGAAUAUUGGACAAUGGGCGCAAGCCUGAUCCAGCCAUGCCGCGUGAGUGAUGAAGGCCCUAGGGUUGUAAAGCUCUUUUGUGCGGGAAGAUAAUGACGGUACCGCAAGAAUAA